CUGAGGAGAAUCAGGAAGUACGGCGCUCAGCCUGUCCCGCGGCGCUUCCGCCCUCUCGAGCCCAGGAGUCGGGUGUGUCUCACGUACCCCAGGUUACAGCUGUAGCAAUACCCGCGUGUCACCGCACAGGAUGACUGGACGUGGCUGACUGUCUCCGCUUUACCAUCUAAUGAUAACAUACAUCAACUGGAAUGUAAAUAUUGUACUUGCGUUUCAGCGUACAGGAUAUAGAGCAGUAUAGAAUCUCAGGGUUGGAAGGGACCUAGAGAUCAUCUAGUCCAACUCCCUACUCAAAGCAGGACCAAUCCCCAGAAGAAACUGACUCCACCAUGACGAUAAGGAUGAGAACCGAUCAGCUGCGUAGAACGGAUAUGCACAAGUUGUAUGAAAAUGUACUUUGUACUGACUUUGCAUGUUUUUAUGUAGCAUGUUGCAAAACUAGGGAAAUAUCUAGAUGAGUUGCUGUACCCCCUGAAAGACCCCUAUGUCUGGGUAGGUAAAGUCCCCCCAUUACUAAUUGUAUUUUGAAUUUCUCUGUUAAUUGUGCCACAGUCUAGAACACUAGUGUGCAGGGAAAGAGCAUGGGGGGUAAUUUUGAUAUGAAAUUAUUUCCUGUUCUGACAUGUCCCCAAUUGCCUUUUUUGCCCUAACAGGCUGCAGCGCAACAUCCAUGUUUUGCUCCAGAUCAUUCCAGCCUUCCAGGGACCAGAAAAGGGAAAUGGCUGCAAUGGAGCCAGUCAAGGGGCCGGUGACUUUCGAGGAGGUGGCUGUGUAUUUCACCAGGGAAGAGUGGGCUCU